AUUGAACGCUGGCGGCAUGCCUUACACAUGCAAGUCGAACGGUAACGGGCCUUCGGGUGCCGACGAGUGGCGAACGGGUGAGUAAUGUAUCGGAACGUACCUUUCAGUGGGGGAUAACGUAGCGAAAGUUACGCUAAUACCGCAUAUUCUGUGAGCAGGAAAGCAGGGGAUCGCAAGACCUUGCGCUGAUUGAGCGGCCGAUAUCAGAUUAGCUAGUUGGUGAGGUAAAAGCUCACCAAGGCGACGAUCUGUAGCGGGUCUGAGAGGAUGAUCCGCCACACUGGAACUGAGACACGGGCCAGACUCCUACGGGAGGCAGCAGUGGGGAAUUUUGGACAAUGGGCGCAAGCCUGAUCCAGCAAUGCCGCGUGAGUGAAGAAGGCCUUCGGGUUGUAAAGCUCUUUUGUCAGGGAAGAAACGGCUGUGGCUAAUAUCCACGGCUAAUGACGGUACCUGAAGAAUAAGCACCGGCUAACUACGUGCCAGCCGCCGCGGUAAGAC
rnacentral:rRNA from 1 species